ensembl:snoRNA LOC120099487 small nucleolar RNA SNORA17
CCUGCCCCUAAAGGCAUUGCUGGUGUGGCUGCUGGGUCACAUGUACAUCAGUAGGCAGCAGAGAGGAGAGAGGCUGUCUUCCCUCAGUGUUCUGACCUGUGAACAUCUGGAUGAUUAGCCUAAUAUU